UAAAUGAAAAGCAUGGUAUGGUAACCAAGGGAUAAAAAGAUCCUAAAGUUGCACCUCUAAUAGUUUUCAGUUGAAGCACACGUCUGUGCUUAGUCAAAAUAAUGAUAUAAUGAGAAAAAAGGGGAGGGGGGGAGGAAAGAAGGGGAAGAUAGACCCUAUAAUGUAAAGGGUAUAAAUCCUUAGUAAAUAUAUGCAAUAAAAGCAAACGAACUGCCUAAGUAGACAGUGU